GCGUGGUUAGCUCACCGGACAGAGCAAUUGCCUUCAGAAGCAAUCGUUCACUGGUUCGAAUCCAGUACAACGCACCA
rnacentral:tRNA from 1 species